rnacentral:tRNA from 2 species
CGGGAUGUAGCGCAGCCCGGUAGCGCACUUCGUUCGGGACGAAGGGGCCGCUGGUUCGAAUCCAGUCAUCCCGA